rnacentral:tRNA from 2 species
GCCCCUCUGGCGGAACUGGUAGACGCGCGGGAUUCAAAAUCCCGUUUCUUCGGAAGUGCCGGUUCGAUUCCGGCGGGGGGCACCA